rnacentral:rRNA from 1 species
AUUGAACGCUGGCGGCAUGCCUUACACAUGCAAGUCGAACGGUAACAGGUCUUCGGAUGCUGACGAGUGGCGAACGGGUGAGUAAUACAUCGGAACGUGCCUAGUAGUGGGGGAUAACUACUCGAAAGAGUGGCUAAUACCGCAUGAGAUCUACGGAUGAAAGCAGGGGAUCGCAAGACCUUGUGCUACUAGAGCGGCCGAUGGCAGAUUAGGUAGUUGGUGGGAUAAAAGCUUACCAGGCCGACGAUCUGUAGCUGGUCUGAGAGGACGAGCAGCAAAACGGGGACUGAGACACGGCCAAGACUCCUACGGGAGGCAGCAGUGGGGAAUUUUGGACAAUGGGCGAAAGCCUGAUCCAGAAAUGCCGCGUGCAGGAUGAAGGCCUUCGGUUUGUAAACUGCUUUUGUACGGAACGAAAAGCCCCGGGUUAAUACCCUGGGGUCAUGACGGUACCGUAAGAAUAAGCACCGGCUAACUACGUGCCAGCCGCCGCUGUAA